rnacentral:rRNA from 1 species
CGGCAUGCUUAACACAUGCAAGUCGAACGAGAUCUUCGGAUCUAGUGGCGCACGGGUGCGUAACGCGUGGGGAUCUACCAUAGGGUGCGGAAUAACUCAGAGAAAUUUGAGCUAAUACCGCAUAAUGUCUUCGGACCAAAGAUUUAUCGCCCUUUGAUGAACCCGCGUAAGAUUAGCUUGUUGGUGAGGUAAAGGCUCACCAAGGCGACGAUCUUUAGCUGGUCUGAGAGGAUGAUCAGCCACACUGGGACUGAGACACGGCCCAGACUCCUACGGGAGGCAGCAGUGGGGAAUAUUGGACAAUGGGCGAAAGCCUGAUCCAGCAAUGCCGCGUGAGUGAUGAAGGCCUUAGGGUUGUAAAGCUCUUUUACCAGGGAUGAUAAUGACAGUACCUGGAGAAUAAGCUCCGGUUAACUCCGUGCCAGCAGCCGCGGUAAUACGGAGGGAGCUAGCGUUGCUCGGAAUUACUGGGCGUAAAGCGCGCGUAGGCGGUUACUCAAGUCAGAGGUGAAAGCCCGGAKCUAAACUCCGGAACUGCCUUUGAAACUAGGUGACUAGAAUCUKGGAGAGGCGAGUGGAAUCCCGAGUGUAGAGGUGAAAUUCGUAGAUAUUCGGAAG